rnacentral:misc_RNA from 1 species
GAAAUGCGAUAAGUAAUGUGAAUUGCAAAAUUCAGUGAAUCAUCGAAUCUUUGAACGCACAUUGCGCCCGCCAGCACUCUGGCGGGCAUGCCUGUUCGAGCGUCAUUUCAACCCUCAGAACCCCUUGCGGGAUCUGGCGUUGGGGAUUGGCAUCCAGCCAGCCCCGAAAUCUAGUGGCGGUCCCUCCGCGACCUCCCCUGUGCAGUAGCGAUACCUCGCAGCGGGACAGCGGUCUGACCACGCCGUAAAACCCCCAACUUCUCAAGGUUGACCUCGAAUCAGGUAGGAAUACCCGCUGAACUUAAGC